GAUGAACGCUGACAGAAUGCUUAACACAUGCAAGUCUUUGGCGAAGCUGUGCUUGCACAGCCUAGCCAAGGCGGACGGGUGAGUAACGCGUAAGGAACUUGCCCUGCAGUCAGGGAUAACAGACGGAAACGACUGAUAAGACCUGGUAAAGUCAGGCGGACUCAUGUCCAGCCUGAUGAAAAGAGAUGCUGCAGGAGAGCCUUGCGUCCUAUUAGCUUGUUGGUGGGGUAACGGCCCACCAAGGCGAUGAUAGGUAGCCGGCCUGAGAGGGGGGACGGCCACAAGGGGACUGAGAUACGGCCCUUACUCCUACGGGAGGCAGCAGUGGGGAAUAUUGGACAAUGGGGGCAACCCUGAUCCAGCAAUUCUGUGUGCACGAUGAAGGUUUUCGGAUUGUAAAGUGCUUUCAGCAGGGAAGAAAAAAUGACGGUACCUGCAGAAGAAGCGACGGCUAAAUACGUG
rnacentral:rRNA from 1 species